UAAACCAAAAUUUGUUCCCCUAAAAUCAAAAUAACGGUUCACCCACUUCCCCUCUUUUCCCGGUUUUCACUAAAACUGAUUCACAUUCCCCCCUAAUAUUAUAUUUGGUUGAGUUAUCCUUGUAAACAACAUCAAACAUUGCAGAUGUGGUCAAAUAAAAACCAUACAAAUCCACAUCCAUAUCACACAAACAAGGAUAUAAAAGCGAGGUGAAAGUAAAAGUCUUAUGGCGCAUACACAAGGACAAAUCAGGCAAAGAGCCCGAAGAGGGUAACAGUGGAGGUGUAAUCAAGCAGUAUCAAAGUUAAUACUAUGCAAUUCGGAAUCACAGUGGCGAGAAAUUCAACCUUCAGAUCCCUGCAUGUUCUCGUUGUGUUCUUGUCGGCGCUAACAUUUAGUGUUUGCCGCAUGGAACUAUAUAUAAGUCUGAAGUUUAUAGUUUGAACUCUUCAUUGUCUUUCAAUGUUCACUUCAGGAACAAGUAAGAAGAUAUGGUAGAGAAGAACACUUCAUGGAGAAAAAUGAAGAAACUACGAGGUUAUACGUCCAGAAAGAAUGAGAUAUCAAUUAUUGUCACAAAACCUAUCAUAAAACUUUCCAUCAUGUUAGGGGUUUAUGUUAGUAAGCAUUGUAAUUCAGAUAUAUGUUGUAUUUUUUCGGAUAAUUCAGAUCUUCAUUGUAUUACAUGUGGAUAUUUUAUUAUAUUUUGAGGGAAAAGA